AUGGCAAAUGUUAAACCUGUCUAAUCUGUAGUAAGCUAAAACUGUUCCUAUAGUGUCCUGCACUUUGCACAUCAUCGCUGCUUUCUGAAUUACCUUAUCAUCAUUUUUUGAUUAUG